AAUGAACGCUGGCGGUAUGCCUAAUACAUGCAAGUCGAGCGAACGCACGGUAAGCGCGCUCCUCUGCUGUUGGCGAGUGGCGGGCGGGUAAGACAUGCAUAGCCAUCCUCUAUUACUUGGGGAACAUCGUAGGACCGCUUCUGAUACUAGAUAAUACGUUGUACGGCUUGGAGCAAGAGUUCAUGGGAGCUUUGCUGUUAGAUUUAGAUGGUUCCGUGUUGGAUUAGCUAGUUGGUAAGGUAACGGCCCACCAAGGCGACGAUGCGUAGCUGAUCUGAGAGGAUGAUCAGCCACACUGGAACUGAGACACGGUCCAGACUCCUACGGGAGGCAGCAGUGGGGAAUAUUGGACAAUGGGCGCAAGCCUGAUCCAGCCAUACCGCGUGGGUGAAGAAGGCCUUCGGGUUGUAAAGCUCUUUUGUUGGGAAAGAAAAGCAGCAGGUGAAUAUCCCGAUGUUCUGACGGUACCCAAAGAAUAAGCACCGGCUAACUUCGUG
rnacentral:rRNA from 1 species